UCUACUGCCUGCUUCCUGAGAAACAGGAGCAAAUACUCAAGGAUUCGCUGACAGUGUUUCCACUCAUCCUGUUUGGGGUACGUGUUUGGGUUGGCCUGCCAGUGAGCAACCCCUGCCAUCCAGCAGCCUCCUCAGUACAAAGCCUGUGGUGGCCAAGCCGUCUGCCAGCCCCAGAGGCAGCUCCUGGGCUACACUGCCACUAUGUGUUCAGGCUCGCUGCCCCCUAGGCACAAACACGUUCUUGGGAGUUGUUUUUCAGAAUAGCCAAGGACUGUUCCAGCAGACAAAAUCUUGCCUAACUCCAUGCCUGUGGGACACAAACCUGCUCAGAGCCACAGCACUGAACUGCAUCUGUAGCUGAGAUCUUGGAAUAUUCUUUCAUUUAUCCGGAACCCAUAUAUGAGAUAACCUGUAAAACUAUUGUAUUCAAAAGAGAGCAGGGAACAUUCUGACUGCUGGCUUUCACUUUCUUUGGAAAAAUAUUUUGGAUAAAACCCUGACCUGGUCUUCCCAUUGCUACAGUGUGGUAAAAAGAUUUGCUUGCUCUUCAGUAUACAGUAAAUACAAGAUGUUCAGAAUAUGGCACUUGAUUUUGCCUUAUUUUACUGAGCGUUUAGUUCUCUCUGCAUGAAAGUAAGAAUGGCAAAUAAAAGAAAUUUGUAGAAAAACAGUCAUAAUUUAUUACACUUAGCAAAAGUGUUGAUAGCAUAAAUUAAAGUAUUACUAGUAUGGAUGUUAUCAGCACAAACUCUUUUGUGGAUAUUUAUAUGUUUUGAUAACAAUGAGGAAAGAAGUGUAAUGAAUACAAAAGAUAAAGAAAUACAUUAUUGUUUGCAAUAUUGGCCUUAAUGAAUAUGAAAACAAAACUCCAAACGGCAUUCUGUUCCAAUUAAUGGAAAAGUUAUAUGGCCAGGUUUCCAUGCAAAAUACUGUUUCUAUUAAAAAUAUAU
rnacentral:lncRNA from 7 species